CUGAAGAGCAAGGUACAGCAUGCAUGCUCAGGACAGUUGCUGCUCCCUGAAGUGCUAUUUGUCUUAUUUGGGAGAGGGGGAGGAGUUGUGGAGGCAAAGUACCAUGGAGUCCAGGGCAGUGCGGAUACCCAACGGAAGUGACCCAUGAUGUGAUGCUAGCAUUGGACGCAAAUCUGGUUCUACAGUUCCUGGUGAGGAAAUUCCUCUGUUGUGGUUUGUCCUUCAUUUUCAAAGAGAGCCUAUAAUGAUAUGAGUCUUGACUUGCAUGAGAACUGGAUUUAAGUGAGGCAGAGCUGCACAACGUCAUCAUCAGCCUCACUCUGGCUUCCUGAGUCAUCCAAGUACAGGGUCGAGACAAAAAUCAAGAUGACUGGCCGUGGCCCCGGAUGCAGUGGAUGACCUUGGCGUCUUCAGUGUCUGAUCAAGUUCUAAGAAUGCCACAGUGCCGGCUUCGACCACCUUUCUGGCAUUGGAACUAAUUGUUCCCAUUUGCCUAUUCCCACUGAGGGAAGUCUUCAUGUGCUUAGGGUAGACACCCUAAACUCACCUAUUGGUUUGAGGCCUUUUGGUUACCUUCAACCUGGUUUAGCCCAUCUGGCAAGAAUUCCUCUACCACCAAUGAGAUCAGUAUCUUGUCCGCAAUUUGGAGUAUUGGAGAUUCGCCUGAGAGCACUGAAAGACUAAAAGAUUUGCUGAGCACCAUGGCUAGAAUGUGUCAGAGGUGGGACUUGAAGCCAGGUCUUCCAGGCCAUCUCUCUUUCUAUUAUGCUGCGCUUCAGACACUGUUGUCAGGUAGAUGCUGCUGCUGCUGGUGCUGCUGGUAUUUGCUUAAGUGUUUUACUUGGUUACAAGGAAGGGUUUAAUUCCAAUUCUGGAAUUGAGUCAGUAUAUAUCCCAAAAUGAUUGUAAUG